rnacentral:rRNA from 1 species
UACGUAGGGUGCGAGCGUUGUCCGGAAUUAUUGGGCGUAAAGAGCUCGUAGGCGGUGUGUCACGUCGGCCGUGAAAACCUGCAGCUUAACUGUGGGCGUGCGGUCGAUACGGGCAUCACUGGAGUUCGGCAGGGGAGACUGGAAUUCCUGGUGUAGCGGUGAAAUGCGCAGAUAUCAGGAGGAACACCGGUGGCGAAGGCGGGUCUCUGGGCCGAUACUGACGCUGAGGAGCGAAAGCAUGGGGAGCGAACAGG